ensembl:snoRNA SNORD113-2 small nucleolar RNA, C/D box 113-2
UAGAACAGUGAUGAGUACUCUGAGAUAUAUGAAUCAAAGAUUUUGAGUAAACGUUGUAACUUUGAGGUCUGU